CCGAUCUCGUCUUCACGCUAAUUGUUCGUUUCCUUAUCUUUUGAGAUGGUGUCUCUCACUGAAUCUGGAGGACGCCUCCUGGCUAGACUGGCUGGCCAGGCAGCUAAGGGAUUCUCCCUUCCUCCCUCCCAGCACUGUGACUAAAGAUCACCGUUCAAGUAAAUGAAGCCAACAACAGUCACUGAGAGCGGCAAACCACAAGUUCUGACUUGAAGAUUCAUGCCAUCAGAACUGAAGGACAAGCUCAUUUAGCUUAAGAAACUACAAUCAACUUUUGUGACUAAAAGAGGAGAGACGCACAAUGCUUUGGAAGCACUUCCAGAGACAUUUACUACACAGAUCUUGGCCAGAAAUCUGACUGUGAAACCAAGUAGUUGCCUACUGAAACUUCUUACAAGGUCCUCCCCUGAACAACUGGGCAUGCUUACAGGCUGGAGGACAGAGAGUGUCUCACAAACAGUACACAACCCAUCCCCGUGCCAUUACUGGCUGGAUUAUAAGGUGGCAGAGCUAAAAGGAGGUAAACUCAGCACCCAAGUAGAGUGAAGGGGAGAACCACCAAGUGAGUUAGAGUAAUACUCUACACUCUUCGUUUAAACAAGGAAUGAGGAGUGGAAAGGGGGGGAAAGCACAACCUCCUUCCUCCCUCCCUCCCCCGUGAUGACGAUCUACCACAACCGAGUGCUGGAGGCUAUCACCUGUCUCAGACCUGAGGCUACCGUGCAGUGCGGAGACUUCAGAAGCCGGUUUCAUGAGCCCAGAAGGCGGCUCUGUUGGGUGCUAGCUGCGGCAGUAUGAGCUAUCGGGGUGGGAGGGAUGUGGAAGCAAGAGGCGGCCUUAUUACAACACAAGCCAGGCGAGCCUGUCUCCUGCACACCUUCUCGCCCCCAGGUCUCCCACAGGCUGCCCAAAGAAGCCCCCCAAAUAUCUAAAGUUACACUUAACGAGCAUCCCCUGAGGGUUAUCUCCAGGAAGAAAACAGCACAAGAACACAUUUCAUAUCUUUUGUGUUUGGGGAGACUGGAUCCAUGCCAGCAAAUAAUAAAAAAUGAGGACAGAGCUCAAGCGUUGAGGGAAAACCCGGUGUUGAUGGGAGUGAUAGUGAAAUCAUCCCACGAGCAUGGGAAUCCCGGAAAAAGCUUAGUCGUCCCAAGGCUCUGAUAAGCUUUUUGUUCAGAUCUCAUCUUUGAUACCUUUUCUAAGUUCUAUCUGAAUGCAACUUGCUCCUCCAUGAAAAUGAUGACCAGAGAUACCACAGGAUGACUUGGGUAUUAAAUGAGGGUGUGUCUACAAACUUUA